rnacentral:rRNA from 1 species
GACGAACGCUGGCGGCGUGCUUAACACAUGCAAGUCGAACGGAAAGGCCCUGCUUUUGUGGGGUGCUCGAGUGGCGAACGGGUGAGUAACACGCGAGUAACCUGCCCUUGACUUUGGGAUAACUUCAGGAAACUGGGGCUAAUACCGGAUAGGAGCUCCUGCUGCAUGGUGGGGGUUGGAAAGUUUCGGCGGUUGGGGAUGGACUCGCGGCUUAUCAGCUUGUUUGUGGGGUAGUGGCUUACCAAGGCUUUGACGGGUAGCCGGCCUGAGAGGGUGACCGGGCACAUUGGGACUGAGAUACGGACCAGACUCCUACGGGAGGCAGCAGUGGGGAAUAUUGCACAAUGGGCGGAAGCCUGAUGCAGCAACGCCGCGUGCGGGAUGACGGCCUUCGGGUUGUAAACCGCUUUCGCCUGUGACGAAGCGUGAGUGACGGUAAUGGGUAAAGAAGCACCGGCUAACUACGUG